rnacentral:rRNA from 1 species
UACGUAGGCAGCGAGCGUUGUUCGGAAUUACUGGGCGUAAAGAGUGUGUAGGCGGUGCUCUAAGUUCGGUGUGAAAUCUCCUGGCUCAACUGGGAGGGUGCGCCGGAAACUGGAGUGCUUGAGCGUGGGAGAGGAAAGCGGAAUUCCCGGUGUAGCGGUGAAAUGCGUAGAUAUCAGGAGGAACACCUGCGGUGUAGACGGCUUUCUGGACCAUUGUUGACGCUGAGACACGAAAGCGUGGGUAGCAAACAGG